AUUGAACGCUGGCGGCAGGCCUAACACAUGCAAGUCGAGCGGAGCGGCGGACGGGUGAGUAAUGCCUAGGAAUCUGCCUGGUAGUGGGGGAUAACGUCCGGAAAUGGGCGCUAAUACUGCAUACUAUCAGAUGAGCCUAGGCCGGAUUAGCAAGGUGGUGGGGUAAAGGCCUACAAAGGCGAAGAUCCGUAACUGGUUUGAGAGGAAGAUCAGUCACACUGGAACGGAGACACGGUCCAGACUCCUACGGUAGUCAGCAGUGGGGAAUAUUGGACAAUGGGCGAAAGCCUGAUCCAGCCAUGCCGCGUGUGUGAAGAAGGUCUUCGGAUUGUAAAGCACUUUAAGUUGAGAGGCGUUAUCCACAGAAUAAGCACCGGCUAACUUCGUGCCAGCAGCCGCGGUAAUAC
rnacentral:rRNA from 1 species